rnacentral:rRNA from 1 species
UACGAAGGGGGCUAGCGUUGUUCGGAAUUACUGGGCGUAAAGCGCGCGCAGGCGGUUCUUCAAGUCAGAGGUGAAAGCCCAGAGCUCAACUCUGGAAUGGCCUUUGAGACUAGAGAACUUGGGUACGGGAGAGGUGAGUGGAAUUCCGAGUGUAGAGGUGAAAUUCGUAGAUAUUCGGAAGAACACCAGUGGCGAAGGCGGCUGACUGGACAUGUAUUGACGCUGAGGUGCGGAAAGCGUGGGGAGCAAACAGG